rnacentral:rRNA from 1 species
GAUCAUGGCUCAGGACGAACGGCUGGCGGCGUGCUUAACACAUGCAAGUCGAACGGAACUCUUUGGAUCAAGGCUUCGGCCAAGUGAGAAUGAGUUUAGUGGCGGACGGGUGAGUAACGCGUGAGGAACCUGCCUUUCAGUGGGGGACAACAGUUGGAAACGACUGCUAAUACCGCAUAACAUUCACGGACCGCAUGGUCUGUGGAUCAAAGCUUUAUGUGCUGAAAGAUGGCCUCGCGUCUGAUUAGCUAGUUGGCGGGGUAACGGCCCACCAAGGCGACGAUCAGUAGCCGGACUGAGAGGUUGAACGGCCACAUUGGGACUGAGAUACGGCCCAGACUCCUACGGGAGGCAGCAGUCGGGAAUUUUGCGCAAUGGAGGAAACUCUGACGCAGUGACGCCGCGUGCAGGAAGAAGGUUUUCGGAUUGUAAACUGCUUUAGACAGGGAAGAAACAAGACAGUACCUGUAGAAUAAGCUCCGGCUAACUACGUG